rnacentral:rRNA from 1 species
AUGGUUGUGUCUUUCAGCAGACAUAUAUUCCAUCUUAAUGACGAUUCUGUGGCGGCUGCUUUGGAAUCAGCGAUUGGGGGUUUGGCCAUUGAAUUAUCGGUUCAACUCAUCCGAGACAAGGUAUUCUCUUUUAUUGUCUCAUACAAGCAAGUUGGCCUCUACAUUCUUCAGUUGAGAUCGUUUGCAUGCCCACAAUUCAAAUGUUAUUUUCAUCUUUGGGGGAAUGGUGGUCCUAAUUGGAAUCGUGAGUUUAAGAUUUGGAAAAAGGAGUGUGACGCCGAGUGGAUUCUUGUUAGUCCCUCUAAAAAGCAUGCCACUUUGGGGUUGCUAGCCAUGCAUAAAACCCCGGCUAAAUCAUCAUUUAGAUUGGGUUCAUCUUUGAGGAAGAAUCUUUCUUUUGCCACGUUCCAACAAUACCCUACUUGCAAGGGUUAUAGAUACCCAGCUACACAACCCUGUGUUGAUGCGAUUUCGGAUGCCGGCUGCGUCGUGAAUCCACGGGAGAAAGUGAUCAUGCCCCCACCGCUGAUGAACAACCUCUAG